AUCGCUUCUCGGCCUUUUGGCUAAGAUCAAGUGUAGGACUCACAAUCAAAAAUCAAUAGUAGAUCUUGAUUAAUAUAACUAAACCUAAAAUUUUAGUAUUUAUGGCUAAAAUCACU
rnacentral:snRNA from 1 species